GUUAUUGCUGUCUCCCCUGCCUGUCUGUGUUCAAUCAGGCUGACAUCUAUUGGUUUAAAGAUCUUUACUCAUUUGCCAUCAGACAAAGAAACAACCUUGGUUUUACUUGCUCUUUACUUUACUUUACUCUUUGCUCUUACCAGUAGGCAUCUUAGGACUUCUUACCUCAACUUUAUGCAGAUACUUUCUCUCACUGUGUAAAGGCUUAUUUAAUAUUUUAUUUGCUCACAUGAUAGAUUUUUCUUUCUCAGACGAGGCAGUUUAGUUAGAACUUAAACUGGCUGUUUAAAGAUCUUAUGUGUGACGCAGACCUCACCUAAGCCACACAGGGUAGUGUAGGUGGUACAGUAAACACAAAGCCCAGAUCCCAGGUGUUAUGCCUGUAUUUAUUCAAUAAAGACUAGGUGGUUUGGGACUAUAAUAAGCAAUCCUUCAUUUUCACAAGGCUUUACGAAGUGUAAGGCUACCUAAACAUGUUUUAAGGUCUUGUUUUUAAAGUGUGAAACAAAAUUUACAACCAACUUUGGGAAGACUCUGAGUUGAGAAGAAAUCACCUUAAGAAGUCAACCAUAUCCACAUUCCAGUGUCACUGACUAAGAAUCCUUACAGCAGAAGUAUAUCCUGAGGGGGACAAAGAGCCUUGGCUUUACAAGUAAUCCAGUGUGAUGACCAGUGGAUCCUGUUGUGGGGCAGACAUCAACACGUGGAAUAUAUCCUUCAGUAUCCAUGGGACUCAAGCAUCCUGUUCAGAGGGUAAGGCCCUACGCCAAUGUAAUAAUAUUUUAAUUGUUGAUAUUUUAACUGUAGAGAAAAUGUCCAUGCUGAAACACUUCUAUGGUCAUAUAAUACAGAUGAACAGCAUAAUUCUCUCUCUUACAACUAUGAGUCAACUGUGGUA